rnacentral:rRNA from 1 species
UGCAGUCGAGCGCGACGAUUCCUUCGGGGAUCUAGUAGAGCGGCGAACGGGUGAGUAACGCGUGGGUAACCUGCCCUUUGGUGGGGAAUAACUCCGGGAAACUGGGGCUAAUGCCGCAUCAGCUCUUUGUCCCUGCGGGGACUUAGAGGAAAGCAUGCCUCUGCUUCAAGCAUGCGCCAGAGGAGGGGCCCGCGUCCCAUUAGCUUGUUGGUGGGGUAAUGGCCUACCAAGGCGACGAUGGGUAGCCGGCCUGAGAGGGUGUCCGGCCACACUGGGACUGAGACACGGCCCAGACUCCUACGGGAGGCAGCAGUGGGGAAUAUUGCGCAAUGGGCGAAAGCCUGACGCAGCGACGCCGCGUGGGGGAUGACGGUCUUCGGAUUGUAAACCCCUGUCGUACGGGACGAACAUCCUGGGGAUGAAUAAGCCUCAGGCCUGACGGUACCGUGCAAGAAAGCCCCGGCUAACUCCGUGCCAGCAGCCGCGGUAAUACG